rnacentral:rRNA from 1 species
GACGAACGCUGGCGGCGUGCCUAAUACAUGCAAGUCGAGCGAGUCUGCCUUGAAGAUCGGAGUGCUUGCACUCUGUGAAACAAGAUACAGGCUAGCGGCGGACGGGUGAGUAACACGUGGGUAACCUGCCCAAGAGAUCGGGAUAACACCUGGAAACAGAUGCUAAUACCGGAUAACAACAGAUGAUGCCUAUCAACUGUUUAAAAGAUGGUUCUGCUAUCACUCUUGGAUGGACCUGCGGUGCAUUAGCUAGUUGGUAGGGUAACGGCCUACCAAGGCGAUGAUGCAUAGCCGAGUUGGGAGACUGAUCGGCCACAUUGGGACUGAGACACGGCCCAAACUCCUACGGGAGGCAGCAGUAGGGAAUCUUCCACAAUGGACGCAAGUCUGAUGGAGCAACGCCGCGUGAGUGAAGAAGGGUUUCGGCUCGUAAAGCUCUGUUGUUGGUGAAGAAGGACAGGGGUAGUAACUGACCUUUGUUUGACGGUAAUCAAUUAGAAAGUCACGGCUAACUACGUG